rnacentral:rRNA from 1 species
CGGGGGAACUGAAACAUCUAAGUACCCCGAGGAGAAGAAAUCAACCGAGAUUCCGGUAGUAGCGGCGAGCGAACCUGGAUUAGCCCUUAAGCACUCGGUGAAGUAGGUGAACAAGCUGGAAAGCUUGGCGAUACAGGGUGAUAGCCCCGUAACCGACGCUUCAUCGAGCGUGAAAUCGAGUAGGGCGGGACACGUGAUAUCCUGUCUGAAUAUGGGGGGACCAUCCUCCAAGGCUAAAUACUCCUGACUGACCGAUAGUGAACCAGUACCGUGAGGGAAAGGCGAAAAGAACCCCUGUGAGGGGAGUGAAAUAGAACCUGAAACCGUGUACGUACAAGCAGUAGGAGCACCUUCGUGGUGUGACUGCGUACCUUUUGUAUAAUGGGUCAGCGACUUAUAUUCAGUGGCAAGGUUAACCGUAUAGGGGAGCCGUAGCGAAAGCGAGUCUUAACUGGGCGCUCAGUCUCUGGAUAUAGACCCGAAACCGGGUGAUCUAGCCAUGGGCAGGUUGAAGGUUGAGUAACAUCAACUGGAGGACCGAACCGACUAAUGUUGAAAAAUUAGCGGAUGACUUGUGGCUAGGGGUGAAAGGCCAAUCAAACUCGGAGAUAGCUGGUUCUCCCCGAAAGCUAUUUAGGUAGCGCCUCGGACGAAUACUACUGGGGGUAGAGCACUGUUAAGGCUAGGGGGUCAUCCCGACUUACCAACCCUUUGCAAACUCCGAAUACCAGUAAGUACUAUCCGGGAGACACACGGCGGGUGCUAACGUCCGUCGUGGAGAGGGAAACAACCCAGACCGCCAGCUAAGGUCCCAAAGUAUUGCUAAGUGGGAAACGAUGUGGGAAGGCUCAGACAGCUAGGAUGUUGGCUUAGAAGCAGCCAUCAUUUAAAGAAAGCGUAAUAGCUCACUAGUCGAGUCGGCCUGCGCGGAAGAUGUAACGGGGCUAAGCAAUACACCGAAGCUGCGGCAAUGUCUUUUAGA